rnacentral:lncRNA from 1 species
CCUCACUGCAACAAAGAUCCAAAACCAAGGAAAAAUUGGAAUGGCAGAAAUUGUGUAGUUCAGCCACUACUGACAUGCAAAGAAACAACACAAAGUAACCGAAUAAUGUUCUGAAAAUAGAAAUAAAACCCAGCAUCUCUAGAAACAGCGGAUUCGACAAAUUCAAUAACUCUAAAUAGCUCAAUCAACUUAAAAAAUUCCCAGGGGAUAUACAGCAAUUGAAUGAAAAUAAAACCAGUUUUCGAUUCUCCUUUUUAUAUAUGGUUUUUCUUCUUGUUUCUGGGAGUUUGGGUUUGUAUUCAAAUCUGAAAAUCAG